ACGCACGCUGGCGGCGUGCUUAAUACAUGCAAGUCGAACGGAAAGGCCCUGCUUUUGUGGGGUGCUCGAGUGGCGAACGGGUGAGUAACACGUGAGUAACCUGCCCUUGACUUUGGGAUAACUUCAGGAAACUGGGGCUAAUACCGGAUAGGAGCUCCUGCUGCAUGGUGGGGGUUGGAAAGUUUCGGCGGUUGGGGAUGGACUCGCGGCUUAUCAGCUUGUUGGUGGGGUAGUGGCUUACCAAGGCUUUGACGGGUAGCCGGCCUGAGAGGGUGACCGGCCACAUUGGGACUGAGAUACGGCCCAGACUCCUACGGGAGGCAGCAGUGGGGAAUAUUGCACAAUGGGCGGAAGCCUGAUGCAGCAACGCCGCGUGCGGGAUGACGGCCUUCGGGUUGUAAACCGCUUUCGCCUGUGACGAAGCGUGAGUGACGGUAAUGGGUAAAGAAGCACCGGCUAACUACGUG
rnacentral:rRNA from 1 species